rnacentral:rRNA from 1 species
GGUUAAGCGACUAAGCGUACACGGUGGAUGCCCUGGCAGUCAGAGGCGAUGAAGGGCGUGCUAAUCUGCGAUAAGCGCCGGUAAGGUGAUAUGAACCGUUAUAACCGGCGAUACCCGAAUGGGGAAACCCAGUGUGAUUCGUCACACUAUCAUUAACUGAAUCCAUAGGUUAAUGAGGCGAACCGGGGGAACUGAAACAUCUAAGUACCCCGAGGAAAAGAAAUCAACCGAGAUUCCCCCAGUAGCGGCGAGCGAACGGGGAGGAGCCCAGAGCCUGAAUCAGCAUGUGUGUUAGUGGAAGCGUCUGGAAAGGCGCGCGAUACAGGGUGACAGCCCCGUACACAAAAGCGCAUGUGCUGUGAGCUCGAUGAGUAGGGCGGGACACGUGGUAUCCUGUCUGAAUAUGGGGGGACCAUCCUCCAAGGCUAAAUACUCCUGACUGACCGAUAGUGAACCAGUACCGUGAGGGAAAGGCGAAAAGAACCCCGGCGAGGGGAGUGAAAAAGAACCUGAAACCGUGUACGUACAAGCAGUGGGAGCACAGGUUUACCUGUGUGACUGCGUACCUUUUGUAUAAUGGGUCAGCGACUUAUAUUCUGUAGCAAGGUUAACCGAAUAGGGGAGCCGGAGGGAAACCGAGUCUUAACCGGGCGUUAAGUUGCAGGGUAUAGACCCGAAACCCGGUGAUCUAGCCAUGGGCAGGUUGAAGGUUGGGUAACACUAACUGGAGGACCGAACCGACUAAUGUUGAAAAAUUAGCGGAUGACCUGUGGCUGGGGGUGAAAGGCCAAUCAAACCGGGAGAUAGCUGGUUCUCCCCGAAAGCUAUUUAGGUAGCGCCUCGUGAAUUCAUCUCCGGGGGUAGAGCACUGUUUCGGCUAGGGGGCCAUCCCGGCUUACCAACCCGAUGCAAACUGCGAAUACCGGAGAAUGUUAUCACGGGAGACACACGGCGGGUGCUAACGUCCGUCGUGAAGAGGGAAACAACCCAGACCGCCAGCUAAGGUCCCAAAGUCAUGGUUAAGUGGGAAACGAUGUGGGAAGGCCCAGACAGCCAGGAUGUUGGCUUAGAAGCAGCCAUCAUUUAAAGAAAGCGUAAUAGCUCACUGGUCGAGUCGGCCUGCGCGGAAGAUGUAACGGGGCUAAACCAUGCACCGAAGCUGCGGCAGCGACGCUUAUGCGUUGUUGGGUAGGGGAGCGUUCUGUAAGCCUGUGAAGGUGUGUCGUGAGGCAUGCUGGAGGUAUCAGAAGUGCGAAUGCUGACAUAAGUAACGAUAAAGCGGGUGAAAAGCCCGCUCGCCGGAAGACCAAGGGUUCCUGUCCAACGUUAAUCGGGGCAGGGUGAGUCGACCCCUAAGGCGAGGCCGAAAGGCGUAGUCGAUGGGAAACGGGUUAAUAUUCCCGUACUUGGUGUUACUGCGAAGGGGGGACGGAGAAGGCUAUGUUGGCCGGGCGACGGUUGUCCCGGUUUAAGCGUGUAGGUGUGUGUUCCAGGUAAAUCCGGUUCACUUUAACACUGAGGCGUGAUGACGAGGCACUACGGUGCUGAAGUAACAAAUGCCCUGCUUCCAGGAAAAGCCUCUAAGCAUCAGGUAACAUCAAAUCGUACCCCAAACCGACACAGGUGGUCAGGUAGAGAAUACCAAGGCGCUUGAGAGAACUCGGGUGAAGGAACUAGGCAAAAUGGUGCCGUAACUUCGGGAGAAGGCACGCUGACACGUAGGUGAAGUGAUUUACUCACGGAGCUGAAGUCAGUCGAAGAUACCAGCUGGCUGCAACUGUUUAUUAAAAACACAGCACUGUGCAAACACGAAAGUGGACGUAUACGGUGUGACGCCUGCCCGGUGCCGGAAGGUUAAUUGAUGGGGUCAGCGCAAGCGAAGCUCCUGAUCGAAGCCCCGGUAAACGGCGGCCGUAACUAUAACGGUCCUAAGGUAGCGAAAUUCCUUGUCGGGUAAGUUCCGACCUGCACGAAUGGCGUAAUGAUGGCCAGGCUGUCUCCACCCGAGACUCAGUGAAAUUGAACUCGCUGUGAAGAUGCAGUGUACCCGCGGCAAGACGGAAAGACCCCGUGAACCUUUACUAUAGCUUGACACUGAACAUUGAGCCUUGAUGUGUAG